rnacentral:rRNA from 1 species
CGAGUUCUGAUUAUUGAAAGGUGCUUGCAUCUUGAUUUAAUUUUGAACGAGUGGCGGACGGGUGAGUAACACGUGGGUAACCUGCCCUUAAGUGGGGGAUAACAUUUGGAAACAGAUGCUAAUACCGCAUAAAUCCAAGAACCGCAUGGUUCUUGGCUGAAAGAUGGCGUAAGCUAUCGCUUUUGGAUGGACCCGCGGCGUAUUAGCUAGUUGGUGAGGUAACGGCUCACCAAGGCAAUGAUACGUAGCCGAACUGAGAGGUUGAUCGGCCACAUUGGGACUGAGACACGGCCCAAACUCCUACGGGAGGCAGCAGUAGGGAAUCUUCCACAAUGGACGCAAGUCUGAUGGAGCAACGCCGCGUGAGUGAAGAAGGCUUUCGGGUCGUAAAACUCUGUUGUUGGAGAAGAAUGGUCGGCAGAGUAACUGUUGUCGGCGUGACGGUAUCCAACCAGAAAGCCACGGCUAACUACGUGCCAGCAGCCGCGGUAAUACGUAGGUGGCAAGCGUUAUCCGGAUUUAUUGGGCGUAAAGCGAGCGCAGGCGGUUUUUUAAGUCUGAUGUGAAAGCCCUCGGCUUAACCGAGGAAGUGCAUCGGAAACUGGGAAACUUGAGUGCAGAAGAGGACAGUGGAACUCCAUGUGUAGCGGUGAAAUGCGUAGAUAUAUGGAAGAACACCAGUGGCGAAGGCGGCUGUCUGGUCUGUAACUGACGCUGAGGCUCGAAAGCAUGGGUAGCGAACAGGAUUAGAUACCCUGGUAGUCCAUGCCGUAAACGAUGAAUGCUAGGUGUUGGAGGGUUUCCGCCCUUCAGUGCCGCAGCUAACGCAUUAAGCAUUCCGCCUGGGGAGUACGACCGCAAGGUUGAAACUCAAAGGAAUUGACGGGGGCCCGCACAAGCGGUGGAGCAUGUGGUUUAAUUCGAAGCAACGCGAAGAACCUUACCAGGUCUUGACAUCUUUUGAUCACCUGAGAGAUCAGGUUUCCCCUUCGGGGGCAAAAUGACAGGUGGUGCAUGGUUGUCGUCAGCUCGUGUCGUGAGAUGUUGGGUUAAGUCCCGCAACGAGCGCAACCCUUAUGACUAGUUGCCAGCAUUUAGUUGGGCACUCUAGUAAGACUGCCGGUGACAAACCGGAGGAAGGUGGGGAUGACGUCAAAUCAUCAUGCCCCUUAUGACCUGGGCUACACACGUGCUACAAUGGAUGGUACAACGAGUUGCGAGACCGCGAGGUCAAGCUAAUCUCUUAAAGCCAUUCUCAGUUCGGACUGUAGGCUGCAACUCGCCUACACGAAGUCGGAAUCGCUAGUAAUCGCGGAUCAGCACGCCGCGGUGAAUACGUUCCCGGGCCUUGUACACACCGCCCGUCACACCAUGAGAGUUUGUAACACCCGAAGCCGGUGGCGUAACCCU